AUAACUUUCAGCGACGGAUGUCUUGGUUUGAGCACUGAUGAAGAGCACAGUGAAAUGUGAUAAGUUCUGUGACUUGCAGAAUUCCGAGAGCCAGCAAAGUCUUGAUCGCGUUCUGUGCUUCUGGGAAAUGCCUGGAAGCAGGUUUGCUUUAGUGUCACUC
rnacentral:rRNA from 1 species